rnacentral:rRNA from 1 species
UGGGGAAUAUUGCACAAUGGGGGAAACCCUGAUGCAGCGACGCCGCGUGAGUGAAGAAGUAUUUCGGUAUGUAAAGCUCUAUCAGCAAGGAAGAAGAGAUGACGGUACUUGACUAAGAAGCCCCGGCUAACUACGUGCCAGCAGCCGCGGUAAUACGUAGGGGGCAAGCGUUAUCCGGAUUUACUGGGUGUAAAGGGAGCGUAGACGGCAGAGCAAGUCCGAUGUGAAAGCCCGCGGCUCAACCGCGGGACUGCAUUGGAAACUGCCCGGCUGGAGUGCAGGAGAGGUAAGUGGAAUUCCUAGUGUAGCGGUGAAAUGCGUAGAUAUUAGGAGGAACACCAGUGGCGAAGGCGGCUUACUGGACUGUAACUGACGUUGAGGCUCGAAAGCGUGGGGAGCAAACAGGAUUAGAUACCCUGGUAGU